ensembl:lincRNA
CCCUGAAGGAGGGCAUGGCAAACCACUCCAGUUAUUCUUGCCUGGAGAAUCCCCAUGGACAGAGAAGCGUGGCGGGCUACAGUCUUUGGGGUCGCAGAGUUGGACACGACUGAGCGACUAAGCACAGCACCCGCAUACACAUACACAUCCUUAAACCUGGGAUGUUUUAGCAUCCUCCUCCUCAGUCCUUGGUGCUUCUUAAUAGGCAGCUAGGCAGCAUGAGGUUCAGACUCACUUGUGCUGUGCUUAGUCACUCAGUAGUGUCUGGUUCUUUGUGACCCCAUGGACUGUAGCCUGCUAGGCUCCUCUGUCCAUGAGAUUGUCCAGGCAAGAACACUGGAGUGGGUUGCCAUUUCCUUCUCCAGGGUCAUACUCUCUUGCUGCUGCUGCUGCUGCUGCUAAGUCGCUUCAGUCGUGUCCAACUCUGUGCGACCCCAUAGAUGGCAGCCCACCAGGCUCCCCCGUCCCUGGGAUUCUCCAGGCAAGAACACUGGAGUGGGUUGCCAUUUCCUUCUCCAAUGCAGGAAAGUGAAAAGUGAAAGUGAAGUCGCUCAGUUGUGUCCGACUCUUAGUGACGCCAUGGACUGCAGGCUCCUCCGUCCAUGCGAUUUUCCAGGCAAGAGUACUGGAGUGGGGUGCCUUUGCCUUCUCCACAUACUCUUAGCUGUGUGCAUAUUUGAAUGUGGAAACACCCCUAACAAGCUACCUACCACCAGGGGGCGCUCGAUACCUUGCGGUUGCGGAAGACCGGAAACGACGGAAAAGAGGGUGAGGGCUGACAAAGGAGAGAGAUCAGCCUACCAGCAUGAAGGCUUCCGGAAGGUGAGAAGCAGCUCAUCACACCCUCCGUUAAGUUCCCUGGAGACCUUCAGCAUACUUUGGAUGAAUGGACUGGCCCAAGCACUUCAUAAGUUUAAGAGACUUUUGAGCCAAAAGGAGAAGAGUAAAUUACACCCUGUCACCAAUUACAAGGAUGCCUCCCUCAUAGCUCAGCAGGUAAAGAAUCUGCCUGCAAUGCAGGAGACCUUGCUUUGAUCCCUGGGUUAGGAAGAUCCCCUGGAGAAGGGAAAUGCUACCCACUCCAGUAUUCUGGCCUGGAGAAUUCCAUGGACUGUAUAGUCCAUGGGGUUGCAAAGAGUUGGACAGGACUGAGCAACAUUCACAUUCACAUCACUUCACUUCACAGUGAUUAAAAGUUACAACCACCAGGAGGAGAAAAGAGAGUCAAUGUGUCUCCCAAAUUUCCAGAAAACCAGAAUGCUGUUUUCAGAUUAGACUCUAGUUUUCUCAUGUUGACUUCUGUCUCUGUCUGUUUUAUUGAUUGGUUGGUUGGUUUCUUCUCAAAUGGUCUUGCCACCUGUCCAUCCUAGAGAAUGAAGUUGCCUCUUAUCAAUUGGUAUGUGUAGCUGCUGGGCAUGAGAGCAGUUCCAGAAACAUUGAUUUGUUUGACCAUUGCUGAUUCUUUUGAGUACAGAAACAACUUUAUAUUAAAAAAUCAUAUUAAAUGAUAUGCAUGUCAACAGCAAAAUUGUAGAUAUUUAUAGUAUGUCUUUUUUAAAUUUUGCAUCAUAUAGGUAUUUAUUAUACUAUUGUUACCUCUGUAACAAUGUGGUUGAAGUAGAUCUCAUCUUUAAAUGAGUAAAUAACCCAGAGGUAAUAUAUCCUAGUGGUUAAGAGUAUACAGCUUGGCAUCAGAGACCUGGAUUCCUGACUUGGUCCUUGCUAUGACUCAGCUGUAAAGUAUGGGGAGUACCAAUAUCUGUUUCAUAAGGCUGUUCUGAAGAAGAGGAAAUGAGAUGAUGCAUGUAAACGUCUUGACACAGUUUUUGGCAUCAGUAAGUGCUUGAUAAAUGUUAUAUUUUCUUCUUAAUAUGAUGACAGCUUGAAAGGGUCAGCUGUGCCAAUUAAGAAAUACCAAUGCCUAAUGUAUGGUGAUGGCAAGAAGACAAUAAUUAUUAGUUGAGGACCUACUAUGAUCAAGGUGCCAUGCAAAACAAAAGUGCAAGACACAUUCCAUAGUCAAGGAGUUUGUGAUGUCAUUAGGAAGCUAAUGGAAAAUUAGCUGAUAGGAAUAAUUGUAAUACAUAGCGGAGCUAUAUGUAACCUUGUUCUGUAUUUUCCAAGUCUCCUGUAAAUAUGUUCUUGU